rnacentral:rRNA from 1 species
UACGUAGGUGGCAAGCGUUGUCCGGAUUUAUUGGGUUUAAAGGGUGCGUAGGCGGCUUUGUAAGUCAGUGGUGAAAUAUGGCAGCUCAACUGUCAAGGUGCCAUUGAUACUGCGGAGCUUGAGUACAGAUGAGGUAGGCGGAAUUGACGGUGUAGCGGUGAAAUGCUUAGAUAUCGUCAAGAACACCUAUAGCGAAGGCAGCUUACUACACGAUCAUUGACGCUGAGGCACGAAAGCGUGGGGAGCAAACAGG